UUGCAUGUGGAAAUGUCUGCUCCUCAUUCCUUUGGGGGCAGGAACACAUCCGUAUCAUGCUACAGUAAAAAAGGAGUUCUCAGGGCUGCCAACCUUACAGUAGAGGUUGAGUAGUAGUAUAUUUCUCCUACAUAA
rnacentral:snoRNA from 9 species